GAUGAACGCUGGCGGCGUGCUUAACACAUGCAAGUCGAACGAGAAAUGGAGACGGAAACCUUCGGGCUGAAAGCUUCAUUUCGAGUAGCGGACGGGUGAUUAACUCGUGGUUAACCUGCCUCAUACAGGGGGAUAACAAUUGAAAACGACUUAUAAUACUGCAUAACACCACAGCACCGCAUAAUGCGGGCGUAAAAACUCCGGUGGUAUGAUAUGCACCUGCUUUCGAUUAUGCAGGGGUAGGGGUAACGGCACACCACAGUGACUAUCCAUCGCCGAUAUGAGAGGAGGACCGGCCACAUUGAGAGUGAGACAGGGGCCAAAAUCCUACGGGAGGGGGCAGUGGGGAAUAUGGCACAAUGGGGGAAACGCUGAUGCAGCGACGCCGCGUGAGUGAAGAAGUACUUGGGUAUGUAAAGCUCUAUCAGCAGGGAAGAAAAUGACGGUACCUGAGUAAGAAGCCCCGGCUAACUACGUG
rnacentral:rRNA from 1 species